rnacentral:lncRNA from 1 species
GCGCACGAUUGGGAGCACGCCUUUCUUGUUUCUCCUUUUCUAUUGACGUAGCUUUUGUCCGGUUGAAAUAUUAUUGAUUAUUUAUGACAAAAACAACCUGAGGAUGAAUUUUAAACAUCGUUUGACAUGUUUCUACGAACUUCAUUGUACUUUUUUGACUUUUCGUCUGGAUGUUGAGAGCGUACUUUGUGCCGUUGGAUUACUGAACUAAACGCAUCAAGAAAACUGAGGUUUUUGGACAUAAAGAGGGACAUUAUCAAACAAAACGAACAUUUAUUGUGUAACAUGGAGUCCUGGGAGUGCCACCAGAUGAAGAUCAUCAAAGGACCUGAGCCCUAGGAUCAUGCCUCAAGACUACCUGGCCUGAUGACACCUUGCUGUCCCCAGUCCACCUGGCCGUGCUGCUGCUCCACUAUCAACUGUCCUGCAUGCGGCUAUGGAACCCUGACCUGUUCACCGGACGUGCGACCUGUCCCAGACCUGCUGUUUUCAACUCUCUAGAGACAGCAGGAGCGGUAGAGAUACUCUCAAUGAUCGGCUAUGAAAAGCCAACUGACAUUUACUCCUGAGGUGCUGACCUGUUGCACCCUCGACAACCACUGUGAUUAUUAUUCUUUGACCCUGCUGGUCAUCUAUAAACAUUUGAACAUCUUGGCCAUGUUCUGUUAUAAUCUCCACCCAGCACCCUCAUAGCCUGGUUCCUCUCUAGGUUUCUUCCUAGCUUCUGGUCUUUCUAGGGAGUUUUUCCUAGCCACCGUGCUUCUACACCUGCAUUGCUUGCUGUUUGGGGUUUUAGGCUUGGUUUCUGUACAGCACUUUGUGACAUCAGCUGAUGUAAGAAGGGCUUUAUAAAUACAUUUGAUUGAUUGAAGACAUCAGUCAGGAAGUUAAAGCUUGGUCGCAAAUGGGUUUUCCAAAUGGACAAUGACCCCAAGCAUACUUCCAAAAUUGUGGCAAAAUGGCUUAAGGACAACAAAGUCAAGGUAUUGGAGUGGCUAUCUCAAAGCCC